GUGCUUUUGGAGCGGCCGAUGCCUGAUUAGCUAGUUGGUGAGGUAAAGGCUCACCAAGGCGUCGAUCAGUAGCUGGUCUGAGAGGACGACCAGCCACACUGGGACUGAGACACGGCCCAGACUCCUACGGGAGGCAGCAGUGGGGAAUUUUGGACAAUGGGGGAAACCCUGAUCCAGCCAUGCCGCGUGAGUGAAGAAGGCCUUCGGGUUGUAAAGCUCUUUCAGCCGGAACGAAACGGUCACGGCCAAUACCCGUGACUACUGACGGUACCGGAAGAAGAAGCACCGGCUAACUACGUGCCAGCAGCCGCGGUAAUACGUAGGGUGCAAGCGUUAAUCGGAAUUACUGGGCGUAAAGCGUGCGCAGGUGGUUUUGUAAGUCAGAUGUGAAAUCC
rnacentral:rRNA from 1 species